rnacentral:lncRNA from 1 species
CCACCAAUCCAAAAGUCUAUUAAAGAAUAUUACUAAGAGGAAUUUUAAAAAAAAGCAACUAACUGAGCAGCCCUUUUAUUUUCGAUCUACUUCCAUCUACACUAACUGCUUAACAAGGACUCUCACGUUACUUUGCUCCAAUUUUCAAACUUUUUUCUCUGAAAAGUUGUUGAUUAUCGGAGAUCAAUGGCUACCUUCUCCCUCCAAAUCCAUAUUCAACGGUCCAAAUUCCUCUGGCUAGACAACAGAAUCACAUAAGAUAGCGAAUCAAAAUCCCUCCAUGUGAAGACGUUGCUUUCAGCCAUACAAAAACCCCAAGUCAGCAAAUCAACGGAUCCUACGGCCUCUAUCUCUAUCUAGCGGCCCAUGUGUCAUGCGCUUGUCGUAGAAAAGUUGGAGGCGCCAAUCAAAAGAGGUGGCCUUUUGACAUGUCCCUGCUUGUUUACAAAUUUCGCCGGAGUUUGCGGCCAGGAAAAAUUUAGUCCCGAGCGAAAAUUCAGAGAAAUUAAAAAGGCAUACUGAACCUACGGAUGUUUUAGGAGGGCAAAAGCAUGUGGUGAUGCGGCUUUGAUUUUUGGUUCAGCCUAUCUUCAAUUAAAUUUAUUUUUCUUAUUUAUGGUAUAUUCUUUUUCAAAUUAUUGCAAAAUGAAAUAUCAGUAUCAAUUUGAUAUACAGAGGGUUUUUUUUUUUCUCUUGAGUUUCCUUCUAUUAUUAGGGUUUCACAUAAUUAAAA